CAGUCGCCGCGGUAAUACGUAGGGUGCAAGCGUUAUCCGGAAUUAUUGGGCGUAAAGAGCUCGUAGGCGGUUUGUCGCGUCUGCUGUGAAAACUGGAGGCUCAACCUCCAGCCUGCAGUGGGUACGGGCAAACUAGAGUGCGGUAGGGGAGAUUGGAAUUCCUGGUGUAGCGGUGGAAUGCGCAGAUAUCAGGAGGAACACCGAUGGCGAAGGCAGAUCUCUGGGCCGUAACUGACGCUGAGGAGCGAAAGCAUGGGGAGCGAACAGGAUUAGAUACCCCUGUAGUCCCUGUCUCUUAUAC
rnacentral:rRNA from 1 species